rnacentral:rRNA from 1 species
GGGUUGUGAGGUUAAGCGACUAAGCGUACACGGUGGAUGCCCUGGCAGUCAGAGGCGAUGAAGGACGUGCUAAUCUGCGAAAAGCGUCGGUAAGGUGAUAUGAACCGUUAUAACCGGCGAUGUCCGAAUGGGGAAACCCAGUGCAAUUCGUUGCACUAUCGUUAACUGAAUACAUAGGUUAACGAGGCGAACCGGGGGAACUGAAACAUCUAAGUACCCCGAGGAAAAGAAAUCAACCGAGAUUCCCCCAGUAGCGGCGAGCGAACGGGGAGCAGCCCAGAGUCUGAAUCAGCUUGUGUGUUAGUGGAACGGUCUGGAAAGUCCGACGGUACAGGGUGAUAGUCCCGUACACCAAAAUGCACAGGCUGUGAACUCGAAGAGUAGGGCGGGACACGUGGUAUCCUGUCUGAAUAUGGGGGGACCAUCCUCCAAGGCUAAAUACUCCUGACUGACCGAUAGUGAACCAGUACCGUGAGGGAAAGGCGAAAAGAACCCCGGCGAGGGGAGUGAAAAAGAACCUGAAACCGUGUACGUACAAGCAGUGGGAGCACCUUCGGGUGUGACUGCGUACCUUUUGUAUAAUGGGUCAGCGACUUAUAUUCUGUAGCAAGGUUAACCGUAUAGGGGAGCCGCAGGGAAACCGAGUCUUAACUGGGCGUUAAGUUGCAGGGUAUAGACCCGAAACCCGGUGAUCUAGCCAUGGGCAGGUUGAAGGUUGGGUAACACUAACUGGAGGACCGAACCGACUAAUGUUGAAAAAUUAGCGGAUGACUUGUGGCUGGGGGUGAAAGGCCAAUCAAACCGGGAGAUAGCUGGUUCUCCCCGAAAGCUAUUUAGGUAGCGCCUCGUGAACUCAUCUUCGGGGGUAGAGCACUGUUUCGGCUAGGGGGUCAUCCCGACUUACCAACCCGAUGCAAACUACGAAUACCGAAGAAUGUUAUCACGGGAGACACACGGCGGGUGCUAACGUCCGUCGUGAAGAGGGAAACAACCCAGACCGCCAGCUAAGGUCCCAAAGUCAUGGUUAAGUGGGAAACGAUGUGGGAAGGCACAGACAGCCAGGAUGUUGGCUUAGAAGCAGCCAUCAUUUAAAGAAAGCGUAAUAGCUCACUGGUCGAGUCGGCCUGCGCGGAAGAUGUAACGGGGCUAAACCAUGCACCGAAGCUGCGGCAGCGACACUAUGUGUUGUUGGGUAGGGGAGCGUUCUGUAAGCCUGCGAAGGUGACCUGUGAGGGUUGCUGGAGGUAUCAGAAGUGCGAAUGCUGACAUAAGUAACGAUAAAGCGGGUGAAAAGCCCGCUCGCCGGAAGACCAAGGGUUCCUGUCCAACGUUAAUCGGGGCAGGGUGAGUCGACCCCUAAGGCGAGGCCGAAAGGCGUAGUCGAUGGGAAACAGGUUAAUAUUCCUGUACUUGGUGUUACUGCGAAGGGGGGACGGAGAAGGCUAUGUUAGCCGGGCGACGGUUGUCCCGGUUUAAGCAUGUAGGCUGAUUGUCCAGGCAAAUCCGGAUAAUCAAGGCUGAGGUGUGAUGACGAGGCACUACGGUGCUGAAGUAACAAAUGCCCUGCUUCCAGGAAAAGCCUCUAAGCAUCAGGUAACAUUAAAUCGUACCCCAAACCGACACAGGUGGUCAGGUAGAGAAUACCAAGGCGCUUGAGAGAACUCGGGUGAAGGAACUAGGCAAAAUGGUGCCGUAACUUCGGGAGAAGGCACGCUGGUGUGUAGGUGAAGUCCCUGCGGAUGGAGCUGAGACCAGUCGAAGAUACCAGCUGGCUGCAACUGUUUAUUAAAAACACAGCACUGUGCAAACACGAAAGUGGACGUAUACGGUGUGACGCCUGCCCGGUGCCGGAAGGUUAAUUGAUGGGGUUAUCCGUAAGGAGAAGCUCUUGAUCGAAGCCCCGGUAAACGGCGGCCGUAACUAUAACGGUCCUAAGGUAGCGAAAUUCCUUGUCGGGUAAGUUCCGACCUGCACGAAUGGCGUAAUGAUGGCCAGGCUGUCUCCACCCGAGACUCAGUGAAAUUGAACUCGCUGUGAAGAUGCAGUGUACCCGCGGCAAGACGGAAAGACCCCGUGAACCUUUACUAUAGCUUGACACUGAACAUUGAGCCUUGAUGUGUAGGAUAGGUGGGAGGCUUUGAAGCGUGGACGCCAGUCUGCGUGGAGCCAACCUUGAAAUACCACCCUUUAAUGUUUGAUGUUCUAACGUUGGCCCCUUACCGGGGUUGCGGACAGUGUCUGGUGGGUAGUUUGACUGGGGCGGUCUCCUCCCAAAGCGUAACGGAGGAGCACGAAGGUUAGCUAAUCCUGGUCGGACAUCAGGAGGUUAGUGCAAUGGCAUAAGCUAGCUUGACUGCGAGCGUGACGGCGCGAGCAGGUGCGAAAGCAGGUCAUAGUGAUCCGGUGGUUCUGAAUGGAAGGGCCAUCGCUCAACGGAUAAAAGGUACUCCGGGGAUAACAGGCUGAUACCGCCCAAGAGUUCAUAUCGACGGCGGUGUUUGGCACCUCGAUGUCGGCUCAUCACAUCCUGGGGCUGAAGUAGGUCCCAAGGGUAUGGCUGUUCGCCAUUUAAAGUGGUACGCGAGCUGGGUUUAGAACGUCGUGAGACAGUUCGGUCCCUAUCUGCCGUGGGCGCUGGAGAAUUGAGGGGGGCUGCUCCUAGUACGAGAGGACCGGAGUGGACGCAUCACUGGUGUUCGGGUUGUCAUGCCAAUGGCACUGCCCGGUAGCUAAAUGCGGAAGAGAUAAGUGCUGAAAGCAUCUAAGCACGAAACUUGCCCCGAGAUGAGUUCUCCCUGAGACUUUAAGUCUCCUGAAGGAACGUUAAAGACGAUGACGUUGAUAGGCCGGGUGUGUAAGCGCAGCGAUGCGUUGAGCUAACCGGUACUAAUGAACCGUGAGGCUUAACCUUACAACGCCGAAG